GGCCACCGUAGGAAAUCUGCACAGCAGGUAGUUGCCAUCAUUUGAGUGCACUGGAGAAGAGCUGGUGUAAAAGGACCACUGAGGGGGAACUGAGAGCAUGUGCAAGGUAGCACUAGUAGCACAGCCUUAACACGCAGCUGUGUGGUCUUAGAGCCUUACAGUUGGCCCCAGAAGUAGGGUCACCCCACUGCUCUGACCCCACUACACUGAGGAGUAUCUCUUCCCUGUCCCAUCACACAUCCCACCCACCCACCCCUUUUACUCAGAAUUUGCCCACUGAAUCACUGAUGUUACAGUGGUAUGAACAUCUUCAGGGAAUUUCUCCCUUCACCUAAAUGAGAUGUGGGCAUUAACUUUGUAACAUAUAUGCUUUUUUUUUCUCCCUUCUGGAUGAUUAAGAGGCAAAGUACUACACCAAGUGAGGAACAACAAUAGUAAUAAAAAGUAGUGUAAUAUUUUUUAAAGCCCAAUAUCUCCACACUUGCCCCACUGAGAUACACCUUAGUAUGAAGCUUAUGUCACUGGUGGGACUCCAAGAGAAGCAAAGAAGCAAGGACAUUAUAAUUAAUAAUGCUUUGCAGGAAACAAGUUAUUGUGCUUGGGGCAAGAAGGGGGAAGGAAAAUUCUUCUCUAUUAUUUUUUGAAGAGUUAAUUGUUACUAGGCAAAGACUUGCUGCGUUGAGCCAGCAGGCGCUGCUUUAUGACUACAUUAAUGUUAAUGAUAUCCUCCGGACACGUAUGAAAACAGUUUAACCUAUUUCUUUCUCAUUGCAUUUCUCUGAAUGUGUGGUCUUGCUCCAGUUAUUUUUACAGUGUCAACACAGAGCGCUUGGAUGGACCAUGACCCCCCAUUUGCACAGACGUGAGCAGGCACUUGCCCAAAAGCAAAAGAAGGAAAGGGCUGAGCUUUGUGGUAAGUACGUGCCAUCAUUCCUAAUGGAAAGGAGAAUGGGAUGGGAUCUUCAGGGUCCUUCCCGCAACAGAGUGGAUGUUAGCAUCUCUUAUGAAGGAGGGGAACACACUCAACAUUAUUUCUGCCUUUGCAGCCUCGUGAAUGACUGCCAUGUCCUUAGGACAGUCUACCUCAGAAGUCAGUGCAGUUGCUAUGAGAAGUUCUGAUGUGAACAGCUGUGUCUUUUCCAAUUCUGAUGUAUGUCUCCACAUACAUGAAUUCACAUCUGAUGAUAUUCACUAGAUUUGAUCCAAAUAUAUUAGAGUUUGAAGUUGUAAUUUUCAUUAAAGUGACUUGCCAGAAGAACUUUAUCCAACAUCCAGGACAAUACUGCAUAAAAAAAGGUGAAAGUACACUGCUAACUUAGUUCCUAAUCGCUCCAGACCAAGCAGGCUUUACCUGCUGAUAAAUCCCAUGGUGCCCUUGUCUCUGUUAGCUCAGUUUCCUGUCAGCUCUUAAAACUUAAAACUUUCAUCUAAGGUCUGUGCCAGCGCUCCACAGCCUGAGGUAUUUAGAUGUUCAGCCACCUCUCCUGAGAGCCGCAGCACUUGGACAGCACCCUGAGAUUCCCAUCCAACAGAAGGCCAUGCACAAGCACCCAAUGACUAAUACUUUUUCUUUUGGGGAUAUUUUCCAGCUUCUCUUUGCAGGACUCUGGAACUUGAACAGAGGAGAAUGAACCCUGGGGAGUUGCCAUAGGAACCUCUGUUGGUUUUCUUUUUUUUUAAUGUUGUCUGAGAUGAAAUAGAAACAAGGAAAAAAUUACAGAGGAGAAUUGUAGACCUGAGUUUAUUAUCUCUACAGAACAGUGAAGCUGAACAAUAUCUUUAACUUCCUAAAGCAAUAACAGUCACUUUGGGGUUGAUGUCAAGUUGGUAAUUUUCACUGGAAUAAAAAUUAAUUGCUGUAUUUAUUCA
ensembl:lncRNA